rfam:Loxodonta africana cont3.53898, whole genome shotgun sequence.
GAUUCAGACUCUAUUUCUAGAAGAGGUAAUAGUGAGGCCAUUGAAAGUACUGCCUCUCCUACUCCUCAACUUUUGCCCCCCACUCCCGAGUGUAGGUCCCCAUUCUGAAAUCCCAUUCAGG